CUACGGGUGGCUCCAGUCAAGAAUCUUCCCCAAUGCACGAAAGUGUGAGGGAGCGACGCCGCGUGCAGGAUGAAGGCCUUCGGGUUGUAAACUGCUUUUCUCAAGGAAGAAUUUCUGACGGUACUUGAGGAAUAAGAGGUUGCUAACUCUGUGCCAGCAGCAGCGGUAAUACAGAGACCUCAAGCGUUAUCCGGAUUUAUUGGGCGUAAAGCGUCCGCAGACGGUUUAUCAAGUCAAUGGUCAAAUCUUAGGGCUUAACUCUGAGACGGCCGUUGAAACUAAUAAACUCGAGGCCGGAAAAGGCUAGUGGAAUUGUCGGUGUAGGGGUAAAAUCCGUUAAUAUCGGCAAGAACACCAAAAGCGAAGGCAACUAGCUAGAACGGUCCUGACGUUCAGGGACGAAAGCGUGGGUAGCGAAUGGGAUUAGAUACCCCCGUAGUC
rnacentral:rRNA from 1 species